CGGGUGAGGCCUUGCAGGGGACGGGACGCGGGCUCUGCGCUGGCCCCGGCCGCGCAGACGCUCCUGUGUUGGUGCUCCGCCUACCUGUACCGCAGACCCCUCCCACCCCAGCUGAGGACUGGUGGCUCGUGGAGCGCCUCCGUGGGCCCGAAGGAGAGAGACGAUCCGGGUGAGGGGCGGCGAGCCCUCGGUGAGAAAGCCUUCUCUAGCGAUCCGAGAGGGAGCCUUGGGGUAUCGGACCCCCCAGCUGCUGCCCCUCCUGAGUGCGCAGUGGCCGCCGUGGCGGCUGCCAAGAGCGCGUGGGCAGAACACCCCGCCCCCCACCGCCCCUCUGGGGGCGGUGGGGGGCGGGUGCGCCGGCCCCGCGGUGGGGCCGUGUGCCGCUCGUUGCCUACCGCGGCCCGCGCCUCCCCCCUUCGAGUUGGGGGAGGGUCCCGCUGGGCCCCGCCGGGCGUCCGGCAGGUGGGGGGGGACCGGAGCGUGCGUGCGCCGCGUGUGCGCGCGGUCGGCCCCCGCGGUGUGGUGAGCCUUGGGGCAAAGGGGGGAAGGUGUUGGGGGCGCGACGUCCGGUCGGCCCCGGCUUCCCCAGCCCCGCAGCCGUGGUGCGGGAGAGCCUAUCGCGCCCGCCCUCUCCCCACGAGCCGCAGCCGGUGGCGGCGUGCGGUCACGGUCGGGGCCGCCUCGCUCGAGAGCGUGAUCCCCAGGAUGUCGAGCCUCGGGGUGGCAGACUUAGAUCGGAAGACGGAUCUGUCGAGGACGGGUGGCGGAAGAUGGGUUUGGGCGGCUCGCCGGCCCUGGCGGCGGGGCCGGGUCGUGGGGGCCCGCUCUGGGGCUGGCCGGGACCGGUCGGCGUCCCAGGCGUGUCGCGGGACCGCCCUCGUGUGUGGGUGGCGGUGGGACCCCGCGCUGGUUUUCCUGGUGGCCCGGCCGUGUUCCCGGUGUCUUUGUGGUCCCCGGAUGGCGCCCGCGGCCCUGUCCCGCGGCCCCCGCCGUGCGUGCUUGCCGGCCCCUCCCCGCCGCUGCCGGCCUCUCCUCCUCGUCCCACGCGUGCGACCGCCCCGCGCUCCCUUCCCCUGUCUGGGGCCGAGCCGGCCUCGCCUCAUGUGGGUGUCGUCCCCCGGCCUCCGUCGGCCGGUGGCGUCCCCGAGGCGGGGCGGCGCGCGGGGAGCUUUGCGCGUGUGGGGGACGUGGGGGCCGCCGGUGCGCGGCGGGAGAGCGUUCUCCCUGGCCGGCUUGCGGCUCUCGGGUGUGUGUCGGUGGCGGUGGGCGUGA
rnacentral:lncRNA from 1 species